AACCACAGCUUCUCGUCGUCUCAGAGCCCCGCCCUCUAUCUCACUGUCGGAGACUUGGUGAGAAACCUGAUCAUCAGGGUGGUGCUGGUCCACUUCAUCCUGAUCACGGGGACCAUUUUCCUCUACUUCUACUGUCGGGCCAGUAGGGGGCGCUUCAGACUGAAGAGACGGAAGACAGGAUGAGAUACACAACCACCGACACAGUCUACAUCCACUAAACACCAUCCUUCUGACUGACCUGCUGAUGAUGUUCCUGAAGGUCCGAUGGACGACUGGGAUCAGCUGUGGUCCAUAAACAGUUUUUCCAGAACCUUCUUCCCCAAAACCUUCGGUCAGAAUGAAUUGGUAUUUGUUGUGGAACAUCUUUGGGCUGAGGUCGACCAAGUUUGUUCAAAGAAUUGGGAAAUAUUGAUUUGUGAAUUUUAUAUGAAUUUUUGAAAUGUUCUAAAUCCCCAUUGGUUUAUAAUGGGACCCAUUUCAAAGUGCUAUGAGUUGAAAACAGUUGAAGAUAUUGAUCUGUUCGUACUGAUUUGAUUUGAAUGCUGACCAUAAGUCUUGUGUUCUUGGAAUUGUCGGUAUCUCCUCAUAAUGUAUUUGUGUGGCUGUUGCAGGGUCAUCCCGUUGUUCCCUUUCUUUCCUCUACCAUAGAUAACAGUUUCUCACUCCAUCCUCCAUCGUCCUCUUCCCUCCCAAAUGUUCCAGGUGUUUUCUCUGAUGACAACAAUGUCUGGUUCAAGUCUGUCAUAAUUGUCACUAAAAAGCUUCAUCUCUCUAAACGCUGUCUGUACCCAUGUCCCGCAGACCGCAAAGGAUGCCCCUCCCCUUUUUCCAGCGUCGCUAAAUGUAUCCAUGACCCUAGCUGCCCUGACCUUUUUAGUUCCACGUGCAGAUGGUGUCAUUUCCCCCUCAGUGUGGAACAAACUCUACUAUAUUAGCCUCAGUCUGAGCUGACCGUGCCUUGCAGGUUAUACCAUUCACAGUUACAGUGGAUCUGAGUAUCACACGCCUACCGUCUUUGAACCGAUUAUGGUCACUCACCCCUCAGCGUAUGUUACUCCAUUGUGUUUUACCCUCCGCUGCUGGGAUGGGGCACAUUUUCUUGGUACCGCCCACCACUGUAACCACACCACCAACGGUACCUGCGGUUAUCUGAGGAAAUCCCCCCGUUUGCUCACAAACCGACUCCCUCACCGAGGUCCAGUUACUGUCCCGGUCCAACACCACGAUGGUCAUUGGCAUGUUUCCAGGACCAGUUUUUAUUUACCAAUGAUGACAGAUUUGGUUCACUUCCUGCAGCGGUUUGGGUUUGUGGUCCAGAUGUUUACCAGUUCCUCCCACCCAACUGGUGUGGAGUUCAUCCCCUUGGCCGUCUCUUACCUGAUGUCCUCGUGGUCGGUAAUCGGACUUAUUCUCUGCCCUAUUACCCAUGUGCCCACAUUCCGGUGUCCACCGUGGAUCUGAGGCCAAAGCAGGAGUCAGGAUAAACCAAUGGGACAAAGGCGUGGCAGCUGGUCUUCCCAUGUGGGCUCUUCCUAAAUGGGCUCAUGACAUUGAUGAUCCAGCUGUAGAUCUGGAGGAUGGAACCAAAUGGGUGACAGAAGGCUUUGGUGCUGUUUCUGUGCAAAUCAAAGCCCUCACAGAUGUUGUCCUUCAGAACGGUGCAGCUCUAGAUGACAUGCUGGCAUCCUCAGGAGCUGUUUGUCACAUAAUAGGACAAGAAUGCUGCACUUUUAUCCCCGACGUCUCAGGAACUUUGACCUAUGUAGUCAAUCACUUAAACGAGCUUCUAAUUCGACAGUUUAAUGGUGAUGUGCCCCCCCCCCCCGAAGGAUUCUCCCUUUGGCAGUGGCUGACCUCUGGCCCAUGGGGGCAGGUUUUCCUUACAGUAGUGAGCCCAUUCCUUGCCGUCUGUGUUGUUGUGUUUGUGUUCCUGCUGCCUUGGUCCUCUGAUCAGGAACAGGAUUUCCUCCAGACUCAGUCCCACCCUCCUGACCUAUCAGCUGGUCCACACUGACUCUAAACCUGGCCCUCAGACUCCGCCCUCUUCUUAUUUGGACCCCUCCCAUUUCUCUGACUCCGGCUGAGACGCCGUCUUUGAAGCUCCCAGCCGGUUUGUAAAUGUGUUGUUUUCACUUCCUAGUCAGCUCGCUCAUACUGUGCGCCUUAUGCACACCAAAAAAAGCGCUUCCAUUCUGGACACAAAGAUUUUCUACUUCCAGCCCAUGACGUCUCAUCUGAAACCUGUGAGGGUGUCAUGUGACUGAGCUGGAAUUCUGUGAAGGUCCAACCAUAUGUUAUUGUUUCUAUAUCUGACAUAUUUUUUUUACUAUUUUAUACUAACGUUGUUAUGAUCGAUGAUAUUUUUGUGUAUUUUUCUUUCACGUUUAGUUGAUCCUGACGGAACAAAGGGAGGAAUGUUUAUACUGAUUUGAUUUGAAUGCUGACCAGAAGUCUUCUGUUCUUGGAAUUGUCACAGAUCUAAUUAUUGAUAAUAGAUAGGAAGUCACAUAUGGGCUUUCAUUUGGUGCCGUGACCUUUGACCUGGAGUGACCUUGAAAGGUCAAACAAAUGUCAAUUAAAGUCUUUAAAUAUGGACUACAAGACCCUUGGUCAAAUAUAUAUAUAUACAUAUA